CUGUCAAGUCUGUCAAAGAAUGCUGAAGGUAACGAAUUUUUCUCGACGGUCCAGAAUGGGGUAAAGAUUAAAUAAAAUUAUAAGAGUGAAGCGAAUUGUCGUCAAUUGAAUUGGAACUAAAAACUGUUGCGAAAAUUCAGAUUGUUGAGCAAGGCGUUCAUGCCAGAAGGUUUACAUCCAAUAUUGCCCAGGGGGACAGUAAUUAGAACAAUUUCUUUAAGUUUGUGUGGACACAGAGGCUUGAAUGUAGAAAUCAAAAGGUGGACAUGCGUAUAAAAUAUCGCCAACAGACCAUGGACGGAUAAAGAGAAAAAUCUACUAUUGUGAUUGAAAGUUGAAAAUAAACAGCAAAUAAACUUCAAAUAGAAAUUUAAACAUACAAGAUGUAGGACCUUGGCCAUGCCUCAACAACAUCAGGAACAAGAAGUCAAACAUGCAAUAUUAAUUCACAUGCUUGUAGCUAAUAGCACAUGAGCAUUAGCAAGUGAAGGAGAGAAACAAUAACUAAUGACCAUAAAAUUCUAUAUUGAUACUUAUCAAAAUUGGAUCCAUUCUAAACAACUUCAAGAGUCUAGCCAGCUCUAUUGAUACUUAAAAAUUGGAUCCAUUCUGGAAAUUGUAAGAGUCUAGCCAGCUCUAUUGAUACUAACCAAAAUUGGAUCCAUUCUGGAGAAUUUCAAGUGUUUAGCCAGCUCUAUUGAUAUUGACCAAAACUCGAUCCAUUCUGGACAUUUGCAAGAGUGUAUCCAGUCCUGUUGAAAUUGACUGAGUUUUGAUCCAUUCUGGACAUUUUCAAGAGUGAAGCCAGCUCUAUUGUUACUUACUAAAAUUGGAUCAAUUGUGGACACUUUCAAGACUCUAGCUAGCUCUAUUGAUACUUACCAAAAUUUGAUCCAUUCGGGACAAUUUUAAGAGUCAAGCCAGCUGUAUUGGUUCUCACCAAAAUUGGAUCCAUUCUUGACAACUUCAAGACUCUAACUAGCUCUCUUGAUACUUACCAAAAUUUGAUCUAUUCUAUACAAAUUCAAGAGUCUAGCCAGCUCUAUUGAUACUUACCAAAAUUGGAUCCAUUCUGGACAAUUUCAAGAGUCUAGCAAGCUCUAUUGAUACUUACCGAAAAUGGAUCCAUUCUAGACAAUUUCAAGAGUCAAGCCAGCUCUCUUGAUACUUACCAAAAUUGGAUCCAUUCUGGACAAUUUCAAGAGUCUAGCCAGCUCUAUUGAUAAUUACCAAAAUUGGAUCCAUUCUUAACAAUUUCAAGAGUCUAGCCAGCUCUAUUGAUACUUACCAAAAUUGGAUCCAUUUUGGACAAUUUCAAGAGUCUAGCCAGCUCUAUUGAUACUGACCAAAAUUGGAUCCAUUCUGGACAAUUUCAAGAGUAUAGCCAGAUCUAUUGAUACUUACCGAAUUUGGAUCCAUUCUAUACGAUUUCAAGAGUCUAGCCAGCUCUAUUGAUACUUUCCAAAAUUGGAUCCAUUCUGGACAAUUUCAAGAGUCUAGCCAGCUCUAUUGAUACUGACCAAAACUGGAUAAAUUCUGGAAAUUUGCAAGAGUGUAUCCAGUCCUGUUGAAAUUGACCGAAUUUGGAUCCAUUCUGGACAUUUUCAAGAGUGUACCCAGCACUAUUGUUACUUGCCAAAAUUGGAUCCAUUCUAUACAAUUUCAAGAGUCUAGCGUGCACUAUUGAUACUUAACAAAAUUGGAUCCAAUCUGGACAUUUUCAAGUGUUUAGUCAGCCUUGUUGAUACUGACCGAAUUCGGAUUCAUUCUGUAAAUUGUCAAAAUAUUUUUGAUUGAUCAUAUAAUGUCCCUGGGAUGAAAAUAAGCCACACCUUUUUGCUUUUUAUUAAAGGGGCCGUUUCAAGUUUUGGUAAAUUGUCAAAAUUGUUUCAGAUUUUUAUGUCCCCCACCACUACAGUGGUUUAUAAAAUUAUAAAUCGUUGCAAUGCAAAACGAUUGAAUAAUAUGGAAAGUUC